AUUGAACGCUGGCGGCAUGCCUUACACAUGCAAGUCGAACGGUAACGGGCCUUCGGGUGCCGACGAGUGGCGAACGGGUGAGUAAUGCAUCGGAACGUACCUUUCAGUGGGGGAUAACGUAGCGAAAGUUACGCUAAUACCGCAUAUUCUGUGAGCAGGAAAGCAGGGGAUCGCAAGACCUUGCGCUGAUUGAGCGGCCGAUAUCAGAUUAGCUAGUUGGUGAGGUAAAGGCUCACCAAGGCGACGAUCUGUAGCGGGUCUGAGAGGAUGAUCCGCCACACUGGAACUGAGACACGGUCCAGACUCCUACGGGAGGCAGCAGUGGGGAAUUUUGGACAAUGGGGGCAACCCUGAUCCAGCCAUGCCGCGUGAGUGAAGAAGGCCUUCGGGUUGUAAAGCUCUUUCGGCCGGAAAGAAAUCGUAUCAGCUAAUACCUGGUGCGGAUGACGGUACCGGCAUAAGAAGCACCGGCUAACUACGUGCCAGCAGCCGCCGUAAUAC
rnacentral:rRNA from 1 species